GGGAUUCAAACCGCCAGGCGAAGCGGCCUAGCAGGGACUCUGACCUAGUGAGUGUCAGUUUCCCGCUUUUCUUUCUUUCCACCCAAUAAAACCGUGUCUUACUCAUCAUUCAAAUUGUCUGCGAGCCUGAAAUUUUGUGGCCGUGGGACAAAGAACUCCGUCUUUAGCUGAACUAAGGAAAAGCCCUGCAACAAUUUUGGCGCGCAACGUGGGGACUUGAGAAGCGCUUACCAUGUGUAGAGCAGAAGUAGGGAGAGGAUCAAAAAGUCCCUCAACUACCGCCUUCCAUGUGAACCAAGAGGACAUUGAUAGAAUGAAGAAGAUCAAGACAGAACAACAGCCCACCCAGUAACAACACAGAGCCAGGGGAACAUCCACCACGCAGGGAAGUGGUUGAACUCUUUUGUGUCAACUAAAAGAACAUGUGGACAUAGCAGGGCUGUCAAGAUAAGGCCACGAGCUUGCCAAGUUGGGGACCUUUGAAAUACAACGAUAGAGUUUAGCUGUGUUUCCCAAGCUGGCCUUGAACUCCUGAGCUCAAGCAAUCCACGCAUCUCGGCUUCCCAAAGUGUGAGCAUUACAGACAUGAGCUACCACAUCUGUCCUCUUAUUACAAUUUAGAGAAAUUAAAGCCUGGAUUUCAAAGGAGGUGACUACAAGACAAUCUAUUGCAAGGUAAGAUUAAAUGUGGAAUAAAAAUUAGGAAGUUAAAUAUGUGUAGUUUAUGAUAUCUGUAAGUCUGUAUUGAUUUGCUUGUUCCCUAAAUGUAGAUAGAAUACCAGAUUUAACAAGAAAGAAAAUUGCAAACAACUAACAUUUCUUGAUCUCCAAAUCUGAGCACUUCCACAAAUACUAUCUAACAAUCUCCCUCAUUACCUUUAUGAGGCAGACAAUUGUCCAUGUCAGAGACAUUCAAACUGAGGUUCAAAAAGGUAAUUUCCUUGGCCAGUAUCAUGUAUUAUGGGCUUACUUAGGAUGGGGGCAUUCAUCUAAAAAUUAGGAAAAGAUAGGAGAAGAACAUUUUUACUUCAGUUUUAAACAUCUGCUGACCAAAUUUGUUUCUGGUUUUCUGUUUUUGAGGACUUAUUUCUACCAUGCACAAUACAUACUGUGGUCCUGCAAGAACUAACAGUGAGU